AUAUCAUUCCUCUUGAACCUACAAAGGAGACUGGUCAAGCUAAACGAGUGAAGGUUGAUGUUGAGUCCACUACUGAAAGUAGUGAACCUGGUGCAUCUGUGGUGCUGAUAUCCGAAGCACUUGCUAAGUUUUUUGGGACUGCUGGAAGGGAGAUGACCCAAUUGGAGGCAUCCAGGCUUGUUUGGGAGUAUAUAAAGGUUAACCAAUUGGAGGAUCCACUGAAUUCAAUGGUGAUAUUAUGUGAUGCAAAGCUCCGUGAACUUCUUGGAUGUGAAAGCAUUUCUGCAGUAGGGGUAGAAGAGAUGCUAGCACGGCAUCAUUUGUUCAAGAAGUCAUAAUUUUUGGCUAUGGUGCAAGGAAUGUUAUGUCACCACCACCCUUCUGAUGGUAGAAAAAGAUAGUGAAGAUCCUUUUUUUUUUUUUUU
rnacentral:misc_RNA from 1 species